CCCAGCAGCCAUAUCACCCUGCAACUCAUAGCCAGCAACCCCACUGAAGUUCAGCAGGUGUGAGCCUGGUCAGUACCUUAAUAGGAGACCUCCUGGGAAAGCUAAGGUUACUGUUGGAA
rnacentral:rRNA from 1 species